CCUACGGGUGGCAGCAGUGAGGAAUAUUGGUCAAUGGACGAGAGUCUGAACCAGCCAAGUAGCGUGAAGGAUGAAUGCCCUAUGGGUUGUAAACUUCUUUUAUAUGGGAAUAAAAUGUUCCACGUGUGGGCUUUUGUAUGUACCAUAUGAAUAAGGAUCGGCUAACUCCGUGCCAGCAGCCGCGGUAAUACGGAGGAUCCGAGCGUUAUCCGGAUUUAUUGGGUUUAAAGGGAGCGUAGGUGGAGUGUUAAGUCAGUGGUGAAAGUUUGCGGCUCAACCGUAAAAUUGCAGUUGAAACUGGCAGUCUUGAGUACAGUAGAGGUGGGCGGAAUUCGUGGUGUAGCGGUGAAAUGCUUAGAUAUCACGAAGAACUCCGAUUGCGAAGGCAGCUCACUGGACUGCAACUGACACUGAGGCUCGAAAGUGUGGGUAUCAAACAGGAUUAGAUACCCCAGUAGUC
rnacentral:rRNA from 1 species